AUUGAACGCUGGCGGCAGGCCUAACACAUGCAAGUCGAGCGGAUGAAGGGAGCUUGCUCCUGGAUUCAGCGGCGGACGGGUGAGUAAUGCCUAGGAAUCUGCCUGGUAGUGGGGGCUAACGUCCGGAAACGGGCGCUAAUACCGCAUACGUCCUGAGGGAGAAAGUGGGGGAUCUUCGGACCUCACGCUAUCAGAUGAGCCUAGGUCGGAUUAUCUAGUUGGUGGGGUAAAGGCCUACCAAGGCGACGAUCCGUAACUGGUCUGAGAGGAUGAUCAGUCACACUGGAACUGAGACACGGUCCAGACUCCUACGGGAGGCAGCAGUGGGGAAUAUUGGACAAUGGGCGAAAGCCUGAUCCAGCCAUGCCGCGUGUGUGAAGAAGGUCUUCGGAUUGUAAAGCACUUUAAGUUGGGAGGAAGGGCAGUAAGUUAAUACCUUGCUGUUUUGACGUUACCAACAGAAUAAGCACCGGCUAACUUCGUG
rnacentral:rRNA from 1 species